rfam:Myotis brandtii contig301555, whole genome shotgun sequence.
GAGACACCCUUCUGGGGCAAGACUUGCUUCAUUGAGGCUUUGGUGCUCACUGAGUCUGCCCCCUGAGUGUGUCCCU